rnacentral:rRNA from 1 species
AUAUCAAUAAGCGGAGGAAAAGAAACCAACAGGGAUUGCCCUAGUAACGGCGAGUGAAGCGGCAACAGCUCAAAUUUGAAAUCUGGCUCUUUUAGAGUCCGAGUUGUAAUUUGCAGAGGGCGCUUUGGCUUUGGCAGCGGUCCAAGUUCCUUGGAACAGGACGUCACAGAGGGUGAGAAUCCCGUACGUGGUCGCUAGCUAUUGCCGUGUAAAGCCCCUUCGACGAGUCGAGUUGUUUGGGAAUGCAGCUCUAAAUGGGAGGUAAAUUUCUUCUAAAGCUAAAUAUUGGCCAGAGACCGAUAGCGCACAAGUAGAGUGAUCGAAAGAUGAAAAGCACUUUGGAAAGAGAGUCAAACAGCACGUGAAAUUGUUGAAAGGGAAGCGCUUGCAGCCAGACUUGCUUGCAGUUGCUCAUCCGGGCUUUUGCCCGGUGCACUCUUCUGCAGGCAGGCCAGCAUCAGUUUGGGCGGUGGGAUAAAGGUCUCUGUCACGUACCUUCCUUCGGGUUGGCCAUAUAGGGGAGACGUCAUACCACCAGCCUGGACUGAGGUCCGCGCAUCUGCUAGGAUGCUGGCGUAAUGGCUGUAAGCGGCCCGUCUUGAAACACGGACCAAGGAGUCUAACAUCUAUGCGAGUGUUUGGGUGUCAAGCCCGAGCGCGUAAUGAAAGUGAACGGAGGUGGGAACCCGCAAGGGUGCACCAUCGACCGAUCCUGAAGUUUACGGAAGGAUUUGAGUAAGAGCAUGGCUGUUGGGACCCGAAAGAUGGUGAACUAUGCUUGAAUAGGGUGAAGCCAGAGGAAACUCUGGUGGAGGCUCGCAGCGGUUCUGACGUGCAAAUCGAUCGUCAAAUUUGGGCAUAGGGGCGAAAGACUAAUCGAACUAUCUAGUAGCUGGUUCCUGCC